AUUGAACGCUGGCGGCAUGCCUUACACAUGCAAGUCGAACGGUAACAGGUCUUCGGAUGCUGACGAGUGGCGAACGGGUGAGUAAUACAUCGGAACGUGCCUAGUAGUGGGGGAUAACUACUCGAAAGAGUGGCUAAUACCGCAUGAGAUCUACGGAUGAAAGCAGAGGAUCGCAAGACCUUGUGCUACUAGAGCGGCCGAUGGCAGAUUAGGUAGUUGGUGGGAUAAAAGCUUACCAAGCCGACGAUCUGUAGCUGGUCUGAGAGGACGAUCAGCCACACUGGGACUGAGACACGGCCCAGACUCCUACGGGAGGCAGCAGUGGGGAAUUUUGGACAAUGGGCGCAAGCCUGAUCCAGCAAUGCCGCGUGCAGGAUGAAGGCCUUCGGGUUGUAAACUGCUUUUGUACGGAACGAAAAGCCCUGGGUUAAUACCCUGGGGUCAUGACGGUACCGUAAGAAUAAGCACCGGCUAACUACGCGCCAGCCGCCGCAGUAAGAC
rnacentral:rRNA from 1 species